GACGAACGCUGGCGGCGUGCUUAACACAUGCAAGUCGAACGAUGAUCUCCCGCUUGCGGGGGUGAUUAGUGGCGAACGGGUGAGUAAUACGUGAGUAACCUGCCCUUGACUCUGGGAUAAGCCUGGGAAACCGGGUCUAAUACUGGAUUCUACUUCCUGCCGCAUGGUGGGGGGUGGAAAGGGUUUUACUGGUUUUGGAUGGGCUCACGGCCUAUCAGCUUGUUGGUGGAGUAAUGGCUCACCAAGGCGACGACGGGUAGCCGGCCUGAGAGGGUGACCGGCCACACUGGGACUGAGACACGGCCCAGACUCCUACGGGAGGCAGCAGUGGGGAAUAUUGCACAAUGGGCGGAAGCCUGAUGCAGCGACGCCGCGUGAGGGAUGACGGCCUUCGGGUUGUAAACCUCUUUCAGCAGGGAAGAAGCCACAAGUGACGGUACCUGCAGAAGAAGCGCCGGCUAACUACGUG
rnacentral:rRNA from 1 species